UACGGAGGGUGCAAGCGUUAAUCGGAAUUACUGGGCGUAAAGCGCAUGUAGGUGGUUUGUUAAGUCAGCUGUGAAAUCCCCGGGCUCAACCUGGGCACUGCAGUUGGAACUGGCAAGCUAGAGUAGGGUAGAGGGGUGUGGAAUUCCAGGUGUAGCGGUGAAAUGCGUAGAUAUCUGGAGGAACAUCAGUGGCGAAGGCGACACCCUGGACUCAUACUGACACUGAGGUGCGAAAGCGUGGGGAGCAAACAGG
rnacentral:rRNA from 1 species